GCUCGUCUCAACCUUUCCCGGAUGCAAUCGUUUGUCAGUUGUGUAACGUGAAAUGUCGACAUCCCCGUGGCCUGCGCAUGCAUUUGCAAACCAGAGCUCAUUGUAUGGAAGAGAAAAUUUUGUUUGACGAUAGAUAUGCAUUCGCCCAUUAGCUGGAAACACAGACAUUUUGUAUCCUUGACUGCUAACUCAAGUUUAAUACUCCGUGUUAACUUUGACCAGAAUGAAGUUAGAAUCUAUCCAGGGUUAGAUAGAAUAGACAAUUCUACGCGAAGUUAGAAUCUAUCCCUCUCAUGGAAUAUUGUUGUUGCACUAUUGCCGGUUAGUGAUCCAGAGGUUGGUUGCCCGAUGGCCAGAUAACGCUAUCCACCGGAUUGUGAUUUUUUCAAAUUUUGCACAAAUGCCUGAAAAACUGUGAAACCACGGGAUAUGGACCUCCCAAAUAAUAGAAAGCAGUUUUAAUCGGUCAGUUUUAGAAAGCUUUAAAAAGUCACUACCCGGUAGAUCGCUCUAUUCGGCCUUCAGUCGCACAACCCGCCUCUGGGGUUUGUAUUCCCAUCUAGCAUAGUGAGGUUGAAAGUUGAAUUAAGUCAAAGUCCUUAUUAGACUGGUAAAAGACAAUUAUAUAAGGGGCUGUUCAUAUGAAGUCAAGCUGGCCCGGUUGAUGAGGCUCUUAUCAUGGCUUUGCAAAAACAUCCAAAAUGACAUUUCUAAGUUGAAUUACCUUAGUUUGAUUCCAGUAACAGUAUGAAGUUUAUUCGAACGAUCUUUUGUGGGCAGGGCAAAAUGUUCGUGACACGGUUCAUCCUGGCUAACCGGGCUGCCCGGCUUAUAUGAACAGCCCCGAUACUCUAACUGGAUCUGGUUAAUAAUGACCAGAAUAGGGUUAAAUUUUAGCCAGGUGUCAGGUAAUAUAUCUUCCAGCAUAGUAUGAUUAAACUUGUUCAAAGAUGAUUAACAAAAACAGGAAAAUUACCUUCACCCAAAUAGUGUAAGCUUAUGAGAAAAUUUAGUCCGGGUGUUGUUAGAGUGUCGGUCUCGCUUUAAACGUGUCGUUAAAUCUGCGUUCAAUAACAUACGUCACAAUGCGGGAAACCAUUAAAAAUAUUGGGAUUUCAAAAAUAGGUCAUUAGCCCAAGAUCACUAAAGGGUUCAGUUUCAUGUCCCGUCAUACUUUGGAACCAUUACCAAUGGAUCCAACACAACACGCCUUUGUGUGUCAUUUCAUUUUGCCUCUUACAGAAUAUGUUAUUUCGCAAGACAAUAAACGUUGGCUUCGUUCAAAAGAAGGUGUGUUUUAUAAAAAGAUGUUGCAUUGUUUUACGAUAAAACAUCGACUAUGCAAGUUGAACUUCAUAGUAAACGCCAAAAUGAAUGGUAAAAAAUGAAGGCUUUUAUGCACUGCAUAUAUAUAGAUAGAUUUAAGUUUGUAAAUAAGAGAGUAUACGCAAAGAAGUUAUCUAUACAGACUAUAGCUCACUAGCUGUUUAGUUCUACGUUGUUGUGUUAAAAAUAAAACAUUUGUUACGUUCUUCUUCGUUUACGGCUUGUGCCACGAUCAGUAGAUAUCCAAUCUUUGUGGAUGAUUUUACUAGGAACUGAUAUGUAAAAC
rnacentral:lncRNA from 1 species